rnacentral:tRNA from 1 species
GGCUUGCUGGUCUAGUGGUAUGAUUCUCGCUUUGGGUGCGAGAGGUCACGGGUUCGAUUCCCGUGCAAUCCC